AUACAAUAUUGUUAAAGCAGUUAUAAAUAAAUAUGUAUCUAUUAAAUGAUUGUUUUCAUUGUAAGUGAAACCAGGGAGAAAACUGUAGUCAUUUUGUAAUUUAUUUACAUAUUGAUAAAUGUAUAAAAACCUGGGAACCUCCAUAUGCCGCGUGUGCGGCCUUAAAAAGACAAAAAGACAAAAAAAAAAAAAAAAGAAUGCUAAUUGUGUAGGGCUCUGAUAAUAAUGUCAGUGUGGAAACUCUUGGCACACAAGUUGGGAACCUUAUAAAAUGUAUUUUACAAGAUCGUUUUAUAUUCACAGCGUAGUGUGUAAGGCAGUCUCACUCAGGUUAGAAAUUAGUAUUAAUUUCUCAGGCUUUAAAUGUAAAUCAGCAUUCCUCUAAUUCUUUGAGAAGGAUAAAAUUGCAGACCUGUAUUUUUAUACUUGCAUUCGCUAUUCGUACAGUCAAAAAAGAUGAUGCAAAAUGCUUAGUAGCAUCAUUGGUACUGUUGACAGACCUUGGGAGGUCUAGUGAUGAAGUUGAGGUGACUUUGGUCUGGAAGGAGAAGCAUAGUGAACAGUGUUUAAAAAUCAUAAAUUGCUUUCACAGUAAAAUAAUUAUCUUCAAAUAGAAAAUCAGAAUAAAAACUUUUUUUUUCUUUUUUUUUAGGACUACUACAGAGUGAUCUGAGGAAUAGAUCUUGCAGAUUCUUUCUAUUUCCUUUUUUCCCUCCUAUAUUUUUUUGUAAAAUAAAUUUUCACUCACCUGUUUUAAAAAGGGGGUGGGAGGCCCUCAUCAUUCUAAAUUACCUUGGAACUUUGGUUAGAUAUUCUCCUAUCCAGAACGUGGCUCUGGGGCAUUUGAGAAAGUGAAAAGAUCCUUUGGUUGUCCUUCCUCUCUUGCUUUCCUGAAUAUUUGAGGGGUGAGUUACUGAAGAGAGCUGUAGGACUAGACAGGAGACCUCAAGUGAGAGCUCGAUCUGGAGGAGUGCUCAGGACAGGGUCUCAACAACUAAAUCAGUGUAACCUCUCAAAGGAUUAAUGAGCCACCAAAGGAAGGCAUGUGUGUUCUUUGCUACAGUCACAACCACUUUGUUCUUUGAAUCAAAGGAAAGAACAGAAUGUCUAAUUAUAAUAAUCUUCUAAUAAUUACAAUAUUUUGCAUUCGUUUUCUUUUAAAAAUCUAUUUGAGUAACUACUAGCCUUCAGAAGAUGUUGGAAAAUAGUAUUUAGGCAGCAGCUGGCAGCUACCAGUGUUGGAGUCCGUGCAGUGCUCCGCUUGUAAAAGAUUUCAUUAGUUGGACAUACACUUUUGAUUUCCUUAUUGCUGUACAAGUACAGUCUCUUGAGCAGCUGCUUUGGAAAGGAAUGUACAAUAAACAUUUCUACACUUGUUUUAAAUAUGUGGGUUUUGUUGGAGUGUCACUUGCCAUCUGGUAGAGAGAGGAGUGGCUUCCUCGUAGAGAGGAAGUGUCUGGAAUCUCUGCAUGUGUUCCGAAUGCAAUUUCAGAUCCCCUCUUCGUUUUUCAUUCACUGGGAGGAGAUAAUUGACAGCUGUAAUUAUUUUGUUCUCUUAGAUCUUUAGGAAGAACUACAUGUAGGAUAGAAUUUAUAGAAAUGUUUUGAAUUGUACCUGGUAAAUAGUUGUUUUAAUUUGAAAGCAAAUGUUUUUUAUAGUAUUUAUUGAAACUUAGCAUUUAAAAGAAUUGUAGUUGAUUUGCAAUGUCAUUUUAGUUUCAGGUGUACAGCAUAAUGAUUCAGCUAUAUACAUAUGUAUAUACAUACAUAUAUAUAUAUAUAUAUAUAUACACACACACACACACAUAUGCACAAACAUAUAGGUCCCUGCGCUAUAUACUGUAGGCCCUUGUUGGGGAAGUUAGCAUUUUUUAAACAACAACAAAAAAAUUAUAAGCAAGUCAGGCAGAAAUGCUGAUGUGUGUACAAAGAAUGUGUCCCUUCAUCCCAAAUCACCAUCAGCCAGAAGGUGCCACAGUCAUUCCCUGCCUCCUCCCCCAGUUUUUUUCUCUGUCCCAUCAAUUAACUAAAUAUCAGAGUGAUACUUGAACAGACUUCUUCAGGUAGACUCUGGCUAUGUCAUAACCACAUUGAUCACUGCUGAUAAGAGCAACCACAUUGGUUCUCUGGAAGCAGAAGGGACUGGUGGGUGUGGGCUGAAUAAAGGAAAGUUCUGGUUCAACAGGCAGAUGUCCAGGAAGGGUCAUUGUCCAGGAACUUACUCAUAUUUAGAAUAACAGCCAACACAACGACUGACUGAUACUGAGGGUCUCCCAGGGGUUGGGCAUUAAGUGCUCCAUGUACCUCUUACUGAGUCCUCACAGCACCCCUGUGAGGUAAGUACGGCUGUCCCCAUUGUCCAGACAUGAAAGCAAAAGUACAGAGAAGUAAGUUGCCCAGCAUCAGAUGGCUUAGUAACAGGUUCCAAUAUAACUAGUCCAGCUCCAGAAUCACAUUCUCACAAUGUUGUGCCAUCUUUUGAAAACAUACUUCUGUUCUCUGGAAAUAUUUUUAUAUUUUAAAAUCAUACCUUUUGGUCCCAGAAUGAGGGAGAUGGGAAUUAUAGAUAAGUUAAUGACUUAAAUAGAAGAUAAGAAAGUUUAUAUGAUUAAUUGAAUACAUGACUUGUAUAAUUAAUUAAAUAUAUGUCUGUUGUGAAGACUUGUAAGACUUCUCCUCUGGUUUUGCUUGUUAAAGUGUUUUUCCCCAUAAAUCUUCUGUAGUGUUUUAUUCUUGAUAUUUUCUUUGGGGCCUGUAUGCUUUCUGGUUUUUGCUCUUGCUGAGUAGGCAAACAUAUCUGGAGACAGCCAUAACUGUCUGUGGUU
rnacentral:lncRNA from 1 species